ACUACGGAAUAACGCAGGGAAACUUGAGCUAAUACCGUAUGUGCCCUUCGGGGGAAAGAUUUAUCGGUAAAGGAUCAGCCCGCGUUGGAUUAGCUAGUUGGUGGGGUAAAGGCCUACCAAGGCGACGAUCCAUAGCUGGUCUGAGAGGAUGAUCAGCCACAUUGGGACUGAGACACGGCCCAAACUCCUACGGGAGGCAGCAGUGGGGAAUAUUGGACAAUGGGCGCAAGCCUGAUCCAGCCAUGCCGCGUGAGUGAUGAAGGCCCUAGGGUUGUAAAGCUCUUUCACCGGAGAAGAUAAUGACGGUAUCCGGAGAAGAAGCCCCGGCUAACUUCGUGCCUACCUCCACGUUAAUACCUUUGGGGCUAAAGUUGUUCCGAAUUACUGGGCGUAAAGCGCACGUAGGCGGACAUUUAAGUCAGGGGUGAAAUCCCAGGGCUCAACUCCGGAACUGCCUUUGAUACUGGGUGUCUGGAGUCUGGAAGAGGUGAGUGGAACUCCGAGUGUAGAGGUGAAAUUCGUAGAUGUUCGGAGGAACACCAGUGGCGAAGGCGGCUCACUGGUCCAUUACUGACGCUGAGGUGCGAAAGUCGGGAGCAAACAGGAUUAGAUACCCUGGUAGUCCACGCCGUAAACGAUGAAUGUUAGCCGUCGGCAAGUUUACUUGUCGGUGGCGCAGCUAACGCAUUAAACAUUCCGCCUGGGGAGUACGGUCGCAAGAUUAAAACUCAAAGGAAUUGACGGGGGCCCGCCACAAGCGGGUGGAGCGCUGGUUUGAUUUCAAAUCAACGCAAAUAACCUGACCCGCCCUUGACAUGCCCGGCUACUUGCAGAGAUGCAAGGUUCCCUUCGGGGACCGGGACACAGGUGCUGCAUGGCUGUCGUCAGCUCGUGUCGUGAGAUGUUGGGUUAAGUCCCGCAACGAGCGCAACCUCGCCCUUAGUUGCCAGCAUUCAGUUGGGCACUCUAAGGGGACUGCCGGUGAUAAGCCGAGAGGAAGGUGGGGAUGACGUCAAGUCCUCAUGGCCCUUACGGGCUGGGCUACACACGUGCUACAAUGGUGGUGACAGUGGGCAGCGAGCACGCGAGUGUGAGCUAAUCUCCAAAAGCCAUCUCAGUUCGGA
rnacentral:rRNA from 1 species